GACUUGAUUCACAAGGUCAUUUCCCAGCAGUUAGCAGGCAAUACUGGGGCCUGACCCUAGAGCAGGCCAAGAGCACAGAGGGAUUAUUUCCAUAAGACCUUCUACAUGAGAAACAGCUGUUUCUUCUCUUGGUUCACCACCAUCCAUUGUCCCAGGACACCUCUGGAAAGUGUUUGACGGCAGCAGAAAAGCAUCAUCGUUCUGCAAUUUGAGUAAUGCUGCAGCUCCAGUUGGGGAGGGAUUGAAGUGCAGAGGGAAAUGCAACAGAAGAUCCAGCAACAAAGAGUUCAACCGAACUAGCCUAUCCCUGCCCUGGCUUUAUGACUCCUUCCAAUCAGCACCUUUUUGCAAUCAGAGAUCUUUGUUCCAUCCAGCUUUCCUUCCAUUCAGCUCCCAACCAUAUUGGAGGUUCAGGCUUCUAUGAGACACGAACAAAGUCAGUGUGAAUGCAGGAGGCCAAACUAGAUGGUCCUAAUGAUCCUUCAUAGGAGUAGCCAACAGCUGACUUCUCAUCAAGAUCCUGAAGGUCUGAUGAACUUGGCAGCAGUUGGAUACCUCCUCACAGCAAUCGUGGGUCUCUGAGAGAUGGAUCUAUAUUUUUUCCUCCAGAACAAAUAGGAAAAGGCCAGUAUGAAUAAAUAUUACGUGUGCUGUCUGACUCAUCCAGCAACAGAACCAUUCCGAGAGCUG